AACGCACCUUGCACCCUUUGGCAUUCCGAAGGGUAUGCUCGUUUGAGUGUCAUUGUACUCUCACACUCCCAGUCUUUGGAUUGGGAGGUGGACUUGGGUGUUGCUGCUUUACCGUGGCUCACCUCAAAUGGAUUCGUGCAACUCUUGGUUGGACAUAGUACGGCGUGAUAAGUGUUUCGCCGGCACCUCACUAGAGGGUGGCUGAUCGGGAGCUCUGUGCUUCAAACCGUCUUCGGACAAUGACUGACAACUUGACCUCAAAUCGAGUAGGACCACCCGCUGAACUUAA
rnacentral:misc_RNA from 1 species